rnacentral:rRNA from 1 species
GACGAACGCUGGCGGCGUGCUUAACACAUGCAAGUCGAACGGAAAGGCCCUGCUUGCAGGGUACUCGAGUGGCGAACGGGUGAGUAACACGUGGGUGAUCUGCCCUGCACUUCGGGAUAAGCCUGGGAAACUGGGUCUAAUACCGGAUAGGAGCCAUUUUUAGUGUGAUGGUUGGAAAGUUUUUUCGGUGUAGGAUGAGCUCGCGGCCUAUCAGCUUGUUGGUGGGGUAAUGGCCUACCAAGGCGGCGACGGGUAGCCGGCCUGAGAGGGUGGACGGCCAAGGGGGAAGGGAGAGAGGCCCAAGACUCCUCGGGGGGGAAGGAGGGGGGAUUUGUGAAAAGGGGGCGAAAGCUGGAGGCGGGGAGGGGGGGGGGGGAAGGAGGGCUUGGGGGUUGUAACCUCUUUCGGCAGGGGAAAAGGUUUUUUGGAGGGGACCCAAAAAAAAAGGCGCGGAGAAAGACGGGC